CAAACGUUUUCACUUCCCCUUAUCUGUUAACCCAAAUUUUCAUUUCCCCCCUUUAUCUCUUUACCCAAAUUUUCACUUCCCCUUGUAUGUUAGACUUGUAAGGCAGAGAUUCAGAUGAGCAUCUCUCUUGUUCUACAUCUUUCUCUUCCUCUCGUCACAGAGCAUAUCCCUCCCUCUCUCCCCUGAUUUCUAUAUUCGCCCCUCUCCCCCCCUCCCUCCCCCUCUCUAUUUGAUUUUCGACAAAACUCCCAGAUCUGUUGCCAUCGGCAGUGACCAGGCGGACCAUAUAAGUUUCUGAUGGAGGCGUUGACCAUGCUGCUCAGUUUAACAACCAAUUAUAUUAUGAUGAGGAGAGAGAUGAUUUUACUAAUUUAAUUUUAGUUUUGGACCAUGGAGUUUUGUAUCUUCAAUUCACUCUCUCUAUCUCUCUCUUGAUUUUUUUGUAUAGUUUUGUUUUGUAUUUUUGUUCUGGGAGUAAUUUAAGCUUGCUAUGGGUUUCUUUGGAAAUGGAUGUUUUGUAGAUGCAGGAUGUAUAAUUAUGUAUAAUUAACAUCUUUUGUUUAGCCUUUUCAAUUACCAAGGCUUUCUACUGUUUCUCAUGUUUGAUUUUCUUUUGUAGAUUUUGUCUGCAACAAGCUAAUUGCUUCAAUUCGAGCCUAAAGUGGAAACUCAAAGAUUCAGAGAAUAAAGUGGCCGAAGAAGCUGAUUUUGAUGAUAAAUUUUGGGCUCAUUUUGAUAGACGGCCUAUUAGGUCAAUGGAUGUUGAGAGGCUUCAUAUGAUCACUUUUUUUCAUGCAGUGGUGUUGUCAACUUGGCUUUCAACAAUGUCACAAAAAUAAGUAUUCAUUGUAAUGUCAAACCAUUUUAUUAUACAUUUAUGUUAAUAGUAUUCCUUGGAGAAAUUUAGCUUACUAAUUGUUUGCUUCUUAAUUAAAUUAUCUAUAUUAGUUUAA